CAGCAGUGGGGAAUAUUGCACAAUGGGCGCAAGCCUGAUGCAGCGACGCCGCGUGAGGGAUGACGGCCUUCGGGUUGUAAACCUCUUUCAGCAGGGAAGAAGCGUGAGUGACGGUACCUGCAGAAGAAGCGCCGGCUAACUACGUGCCAGCAGCCGCGGUAAUACGUAGGGCGCAAGCGUUGUCCGGAAUUAUUGGGCGUAAAGAGCUCGUAGGCGGCUUGUCGCGUCGGAUGUGAAAGCCCGGGGCUUAACUCCGGGUCUGCAUUCGAUACGGGCAGGCUAGAGUUCGGUAGGGGAGAUCGGAAUUCCUGGUGUAGCGGUGAAAUGCGCAGAUAUCAGGAGGAACACCGGUGGCGAAGGCGGAUCUCUGGGCCGAUACUGACGCUGAGGAGCGAAAGCGUGGGGAGCGAACAGGAUUAGAUACCCUGGUAGUCCACGCCGUAAACGUUGGGAACUAGGUGUGGGCGACAUUCCACGUUGUCCGUGCCGCAGCUAACGCAUUAAGUUCCCCGCCUGGGGAGUACGGCCGCAAGGCUAAAACUCAAAGGAAUUGACGGGGGCCCGCACAAGCGGCGGAGCAUGUGGCUUAAUUCGACGCAACGCGAAGAACCUUACCAAGGCUUGACAUACAUCGGAAACAUCCAGAGAUGG
rnacentral:rRNA from 1 species